rnacentral:tRNA from 1 species
GCGGAUUUAAGUUAAUUGGUAGACAAUUUCUUUUCCACAGAAAAAGUGUUUGUUCAAGUCAAACAAUCCGUA